CUCCGUGAUGUCACCAGUGUUGUAGUGACAACAAACUCACUGAGAUUUCUCAGUCAGAGGCUGGACACUGCAGUGAUGGCCUUGUUUGCCCGACUCUGCAGACUUUUUCAGAGAGCCAAUGUGGAUGGGAGAGAGACCAGAGAGGGGAGGAAGGAUGCUGACCUUCCAUCUGAGAGUAAUGAAGGACGAAGGAGGUGGACUUGGCGAAUGUGGAUGGCUCACAGACAGACAACAUCCCCUGUUCCUGUCACAAGCAAAAAGCAGUUUGAGAAGGAAGAGAAGGAGCUGAUCAAAAAGAUCCAGCUCACUACCAAGGAGAUAAAUGAGCUGAGAGAUCGCCUGAUCUACGUGACCAAGGGAUCCAUGAACAAGAGGCCCUACCACAGGCAAACUCGACAUUAUAAAGAACUGAAAUUAAAGGAGAAGGAGAUAAUGACAUAUCUACACGACUUAGAGAUGAAGAACAUGGAGGCCCGAGAGAACAAUCAGGAGCUCAAGAAGGAGAAAAAUUUCUAUCGUAACCUGCACACCAGGAUCCUGCUGGAGGAGAAUCUUAUAAAGAAGAAGUUGGUGAUAUUGCAGUAGGAGAGCAAGGAAGUACAUGCUGAUUGGGCCACCAUUCAUCAAAGUUUGGUGGAGUUGAACCUGAGUGGUAAAGACGAACAGGAGAAGACCAGCAACCUGGAGACUCAAGAACAUCAGGUCUCAGAAGCUGCAAGAGAGCUGGUAUUGGCCACAGCUGAAGAAGACAGCAUCUUGCAGAAUGAGUUGCCAUGCCAGGAGGCCCCUGCUGAGCACCAUCCCCAGCACCCACCAUCUUCCUCAGAUGAAUCUUCCUCAGAUGAAUCUUCUUAUAGCACAUGUCCUGAGUGGGAAUAGGCCCUACCGAGGAAGCCAUGGCUGAUUCAGGGCAUUGUUCCCUUUUCUCUUCAGACAACGCCUCUUGGCAGGGAAUUGAGGUGAUUCCUCUGCUACCAAGUGUCCAAGAGGAGCAGCAGGCUGUAGGGCUGUGCUGCUAAAAGUGCAGAAAAAGGCUGCUGAACAAUAAUUUUCCUUUAGAGUUUUGGUUGAAGUUUUGGUUUUUGUUCUUUCAAUUGUUGCUAAGUUAUUUAGAAGUUAUAUGUUCUUAUAUUUCAUUGUUUUUUCCUUUAUCUCUAUAUUAAUUGAACUUUUAAAACCUAUUUUUUAAAAAUUCUAUUUCUUAUGCAUAAAAACUGAUUUGUAAGAAGUGACUCUUGAGACCAUCUUCCUUAUUCAGGUGUUCUAUCCCAGCUGUAGACGUAGAACUCACAUCCAGAGAUGGAUCUUUGUAAGUUCCAGGCAGCCAGGGCUAUAUGGCAAAAUUAUACCCUAGGCACCUAGGGGUAUACAAGGUGAUGAACUUUUGUGUCAAUAAUUAUACUUACCCCAUGGAUAAACACUUGAUGAUGUAAUCACUGCCAUACUGCAUCCAUGGUGUCAUGAAUUCUCUUACUCCUAACAUAUAGCACUCUAUAACACACAUUCAUUCAUGAUCCUGUGAACCAGAUACUGAGUAAUAUACAGCCAUUUUUCAGGAGCUUCUGCAGAUAUAAAAACAUUCAGAAAGGAAUAUAAAAUAAAUCAGGAAGGCCAGAGCCAUCUGCCUCAGUUUACUUGCAAUAGAGCAACAGUGAUUGAGGAGAGCAAUGGCUUCCCUUUGGUUCUGGCCUGAAAGGGUCAGAGCCGUUAACUGGGAGAAAGGUCAUGGGUCGUUCCUCCUGAAAGGGAGGGAUGUCUAAACAUGACUUUCUGUGAGCCAGAGUUUUUCCUUGUUCCUAGUCAAGAGUUAAUAUUUACCCUGAUAGGAAGAUGUCCUUGGGUCUUCAGAUAACAGUUUCUUCUUCUGAAGUUUGUUCUUGUUAUGAGAAAAUGACUCCAAAAAUGAUAAUAUUGUCUGCCAGGUGCAACUAAGUAAAAAUGUUAUUUUUUGAGCAAAAUUUGUAAAGUCAUACCCCAUGUUUUUAAGCUGUAGAAAUCAGUAAAGCUUUGCUACUUGCCACCAGAGCGGUAGUCCGUCUGUUUCUUUAAGUCGUUCCCAAACCUGGUCUUCGUCAAGUGAUAACCACAAAGCAGAUAUAAUUACCUUCCAUGGCUUGCUGGAAAAUAGCUUCUGAUAGAUGCUGCUGUCCUUGACCAUAAACUUGCUGUGUUUUUGCUGUUGCUGAUUAGACUUAUGUUUAACAUUUAUGUGAAUGGGUGUCUUUCCUACUGAAUGUAAUACAGUAUGUGGCUCCUCCUGAGGGACAUUUCCCUCAGAGGACAGAAGAAGGAACCACAACCAUUCCUGGAGAUGGUUGUUAGGCACCAUGUGGGUCUUCUAGAGAGUAGCAGAUGCUCUAACCUGUGAGGCAUCCCCACACCUCCUGCAGUUGGCUUUUGUCCUUCCAGAGAAUGUGCUGUUUUAGAUGGCCAGGAUCAAGUCCAGUUGAGUGGAGAAAUAUCAGGAGAUGUGUAGGUACAGUGCCUGACCUAUGCAUACUCAUUCAUGUAAGCAGGGCUCUGAUGUUACCACUGGCAGGACUGUGUUCAGAGCCAUUUAAUUGGACAAAAUGGGGUAGUGGGAAAGUUGUGGAUUGCUGUUUGUGUUUUCUGCUCCCUCAAGAGUCCCUAAACAAAGGUGCAGUUAGGUGAAAUCUUAAUUGGUCAGAUAAGGCUAGAGGCUCUUAUUGGACAAUUGGGAAGAAAUGCAGAGCUGAAAUAUUAGAGAGGGGAAGUGUGAUGGAGAAGAGAGAGGGAACGGAGGACAAAAGAUAGAGGAAUGGGAAGAUGGUGCUAGACUACGGGGCCCUAGUGUCCAUAAAUAACUGGGGAUUUCAUAAAUUGGAAAUAGAGUAAUGUAGGUACAUUUUCCUGAUCUAAGUGUGCAGGUUUUAUUUAUAUGUGUUGAGUUUUGUAUUGCUUGCAUGGGCACUUUGUGCUUGUAGAUUUCCCCUAAUAAAUUUGGCUGGCAUAUU
rnacentral:lncRNA from 1 species